AUUGAACGCUGGCGGCAGGCCUAACACAUGCAAGUCGAGCGGAUGAAGGGAGCUUGCUCCUGGAUUCAGCGGCGGACGGGUGAGUAAUGCCUAGGAAUCUGCCUGGUAGUGGGGGAUAACGUCCGGAAACGGGCGCUAAUACCGCAUACGUCCUGAGGGAGAAAGUGGGGGAUCUUCGGACCUCACGCUAUCAGAUGAGCCUAGGUCGGAUUAGCUAGUUGGUGGGGUAAAGGCCUACCAAGGCGACGAUCCGUAACUGGUCUGAGAGGAUGAUCAGUCACACUGGAACUGAGACACGGUCCAGACUCCUACGGGAAGCAGCAGUGGGGAAUAUUGGACAAUGGGCGAAAGCCUGAUCCAGCCAUGCCGCGUGUGUGAAGAAGGUCCUCGGAUUGUAAAGCACUUUAAGUUGGGAGGAAGGGCAGUAAGUUAAUACCUUGCUGUUUUGACGUUACCAACAGAAUAAGCACCGGCUAACUUCGUG
rnacentral:rRNA from 1 species